UUACAGAUGUGUGUCUGUACUGAUGAGUCCAAAAGGACGAAAGGAUAA
rnacentral:hammerhead_ribozyme from 24 species